rnacentral:misc_RNA from 1 species
CGAAAUGCGAUAAGUAAUGCGAAUUGCAGAAUUCAGUGAAUCAUCGAAUCUUUGAACGCACAUUGCGCCCGCUAGUAUUCUGGCGGGCAUGCCUGUCUGAGCGUCAUUUCAACCCUCAUUCCCGGCUUCGUGUCGGGGAUGGUGUUGGGGAUCGGCCUCCCGGUUGCGGGCGGCCGGCCCCGAAAUAGAGUGGCGACCACGCCGUAGCCUCCUCUGCGUAGUAGUGAAAACCUCGCAGGCGGAGAGCGGUGCGGCCUGCCGUAAAACCCCCAACUCUUCUAAGGUUGACCUCAGAUCAGGUAGGAAUACCCGCUGAACUUAAGC